ACGAACGCUGGCGACGUGCUUAACACAUGCAAGUCGAACGGUGAAGCGCCUUCCUUUUUGGUGGGUGUGGAUGAGUGGCGAACGGGUGAGUAACACGUGAGUAACCUGCCCCCUUCUUCUGGAUAACCGCAUGAAAGUGUGGCUAAUACGGGAUAUUCUGGGUCUGUCGCAUGAUGGGUCUGGGAAAGAUAUUGUUUCGGUGGGGGAUGGGCUCGCGGCCUAUCAGCUUGUUGGUGGGGUGAUGGCCUACCAAGGCGGUGACGGGUAGCCGGCCUGAGAGGGUGGACGGUCACACUGGGACUGAGACACGGCCCAGACUCCUACGGGAGGCAGCAGUGGGGAAUAUUGCACAAUGGGCGCAAGCCUGAUGCAGCGACGCCGCGUGAGGGAUGGAGGCCUUCGGGUUGUGAACCUCUUUCGCCAGUGAAGCAGGCCUGCCUCGUUUGUGGGUGGGUUGACGGUAGCUGGAUAAGAAGCGCCGGCUAACUACGUG
rnacentral:rRNA from 1 species